ensembl:lncRNA
CAGUAAGGCAGGGUGAACAGGUGUGCAAGCCGGAGAGUCUUCAACUGGGGCUUCCUAGGAUCAUCUCCAAUAAACUACCUGCACUUGAGCCCUUGUCUCAGGCUGUUUCUGGGGGAACACCAGCACAGGCAGGAAUUCAGUGUUGUCCUAUUCCCUUUGGACACAGGCGGAGCACUCACUAAGGGAUGCUGAAGCAGUGUGUAGUCAGAGGAGGAUGCCUAUUGCACUCACCAUCAUAUCCCCAGCCCUUUACCUUGCUGAGUUCUCAGUCAUGAAUAAGUGAAUGAAUUUGCUGAGGUGCAGAUGAGAUUAAUACAUCUGAACAGGACUGGAUAGUUUAUAGAAGACUCAAGAUCUGUAUCGCACAACCAGAGAAGGUAAGCAGGCCAAGGGUUAGACCCACAUGUUACAGCUGAAGAAACUGAUGCUUAGGGAGAUCAACACUGGUCUGUAAGUGUUAACAG